GGCAAGCUGCAGGUCCUCCCCUCCUCCAUGGGCGUGCACCCCUCCUUCCCUUCAUCUUCCUCAAGCCAGCAGCCAUGGCGCCUCCACCUCCCAGCGCCCAGAUUUUCCUCUCUAGCGCGCCCCCUCCAGGCAUGGCGGCAGCUCCUCCUCCCUCUGCUUCGUGCGCGCAGGAGCAGAAGCUCCUUGGGAGCACGCCGACGCCCCAGCUGGCUCCCUUUCCUCCUCCCCCCUUCUUUCCCCAUGGCCGUCCAGCCCUGCACAGCAGCGCCCCUGCUCCUUUUUCUUUUCCCUCUGCUCCCUGUGCGGCAUGCUCUGCUCACCGGCGAGUUCAUGUGCUCACGGCACCUCUCCCUGCCUUCCCUCGAACCUGUGGGCACUAGCGCAGGCUCCCUUUUUUUCCCCACCGUCUCCCUCAGCCAGUAGCCGUCGACCUCCUCCCCCUGCUGUUCUUGCAGUUCAAGUUCUCCCCACGCCGACCUUCUUCUCCGGCAAGUCUGGCCGCUGCCAUCCCUCGGCACCGGGCUGGAGCACACGCCGAGCUCCUCCUCACGUGCUCCUCCACCGGUCUGCGUCCCCGCUCGAGCAGCAGCAGCGGCGAUGCCCUCCGCUGCGUCGCGCUCGCCAGGACGGGCCACCCGCCGUCGAUCUCGCAGUCCCCGUCGCGAUGUCGUCAGUCCGCGCUAGCUAUCGGUGUCGCGCCACGUGCUCUGCCUAUGCAACGAAAUGCUAGCCGGUGGACAGCACAUGCGACUCACCAAUCCGGCCAGGUUGCUUUUGUUUCAUUUACGAUUUAGUCGAUGACGUGAAUAUGUGCGUGAAAAUAUAAUUGUAUGAAUGGACGCGAGUAGAAAGAAAAUAAAGUAGAAAAGAACUCGGAUGUUUUUAUAUUUUUAUUUUGAUUGGAAAAUAUGCGAUGCGUUGUUUAAUACGAAAA